AGGGCAAUGGAAAAUGCAAUGGCAUCUAAUCAAGAAUCACAGCCAGGAAGCUAGAGUCAGAAGAAAGACCAAACUGCACCAAAGUUUCUCCUUCGUCUCCUUCCACAAAUCCAGAGGUGGGUCAAAAAGGACCUUGCUGUGAUUUAUGUCAUAGAAUGUUCUAAGAAUGAGGACACUGAAUCCUGGGAAAGCACAGCAGUUUGGCUAAGGUCACAACAGAGUUUCUUGAAUCCCUGCUUCUUUAGAAUUUGAGGGGUAGAAGUUGUCAACUGUUAAGUGGAGAUCCUUAGACCUGCAGUUAACAGGCUGUGACACUGAGCACCUGGGAACCAGGACUACCUGGAAAACUGACUGACCCUAAGUCUGGGGCAAUGAAGUACAAGUACGCGGGCCUCUCACGGCUGUGGCCUCUUCCGCUGCAGAGCACAGGCUCCGGACGCGCAGGCUCAGCGGCCAUGGCGCUGAGAUCGAUCUUCCCGGACCGGGGCACGAACCCAUGUCCCCUACAUCGGCAGGCGGACUCUCAACCACGGCGCCACCAGGGAAACCCAUUUAUUUUCUUUUAAAGUUAGGAACUUCGAUUAGUGGAUUCCAUGUUAGGUAUUUACUAAAACAGAUUUUGACAAACUACAGCCAAAUCUACCACUCCUGCCCCCCUUCUCUCAAGCACCCCUCCUAGUCUGUUUUUGUAGGACCACAAGAAAGAACAGUUUUUACAUUUUUAAAUGGUUGAGGGAAAAAAUUAAAAGAAUAUUUUGUGAUACAUAAAAAUCAUAUGUAAUUCAGCUUUCAGUGUU